rnacentral:snRNA from 1 species
GUGCUCACUUUGGCAGCACACGUACUAAAAUUGGGACGAUAUGGAGAAGACUAGCAUGACCCCUGCGCAAGGGUGACACACAAAUCCGUGAGCGUUCUAAUUAAAAA